ACUCAAUCUCAGCGGCGGGACGGGUUAGUUAGCGGCUACUGCGGUCGCUAUCCACCGUCUUUGAUAGCAAAAAAUGGUAGAACGGUCAACGGUCGGUAAUGCAGACGAAGACCAGGAGAACUACCUUGGACUCAUAUUGGAAGCAUGUUCAGUUUACAGAAAGUGCGGAACAGCAGUUACAUCGUGCGGUGUCUUUUGUGUCUCCCAAAACAAACGGAUAUUUUAGCAUUCAAAAAAUUAACGUCAAACAAUUAACGUCUAACCCGAGGAAAUAUGUUGCGGAGCAGUGGUGCAAAUCUUGGAUGAUGUUUUACCAUCAGGCUGGAUUAAUAUUCAAACUUCAAGCCUGGGGGGCAAAUCAAAGUCAAUGAUUGAGCGUCACACACCGGCGUUUGGGUCCUGAGUCCUGUGGGUCAAAUGGCUGCGGGGCCUACGGUCAGCUGUUUUACAGACGGCGACAGACACUGAGCUCAGAGCUUCAGGUCAAUACGGUGAUAAAAGCAGCAGCAGUCGGAGGUCGGUCUGAGAGACGGAGGCUGCACUGAGACAGAUGUGGCUGCUGCUAUAGAUCCACGCUGCAUUAUCUGUCCGGCCUGAGGCCAAACGACAGCCAGACACUCAGGACGCAAUGGGAAGUGCAGACCCUGGUUCUCUCCCCCCUUCUGGGUCCCUCGUCACCAGGUUGUCACCGCGGCCCUGCUGCGAGACACAACACAGCGUCGGCCCCGUCAUCGAUCAAUAAACGGAGACGACUGGAACCAGCCGGAUGAGAGCGGGAGACAGAGAGAAGAUGGAUGGAGAGUGGUCGCCUCUGGUUUGUUCUGCUGUUCACUCUCUGCUCUGCAUUACCUGGAUCACAGAGCACACACUCCCUGUGGGGCAGAAACACAGUCACACACACACGGCUGGCUGGAAGAAGCAAUGCACCACUAGGGGGAGCCUCCACCAUUUACAACAAAUGGUUGAAACCCGACAUCACACGCUGUAGUCAGCCAUCGUCAGACUGAGGGUUAACUCCUACUUUUCAUCUGAUUGUGGGCAGACGACGUGGCGCCACCUGUGUCAUUAACGAGUGCCGCAGUAUACGUGAGAUUUAGCGUGAGUUUACGAUCCUGCUGUCGAUUUGCAUGUGCUGGCCAAUCCCAAUUUGAAUACAUUAAUAAUUCCCAAAGUGGGGGGCGUGGCACAGAAAGGGCCAUUGGAAUACAUUUAUUUUGAAAUUAAAAAAAGGAAUAGUUUGAAGCAAAGGAUUUGAAUGUGGUUGGUACUAGUUGUGUGUGUGUGUGUGUGUGUGUCAAUGAUGAUGAUUAGAUGAAACGUAGCCUUGUAUCCAAAUGAAAUCAGCCAAUCACUGUUGUUGUUCUUCUACCGUCUGCAACCGAGGCAGUUUGAUCCAGUUAGUAUGUACAAUCUAUGGAUCUAAUGGCAUUUCAUGUUCGACUUGUGGACCAACCAAUCAAAUCACAGGGCAGUGUUUGUCAUCAGUCCAGAUUUUAACACGUGUACAGUCUCACCAGUGUCCUGUUAAUGAAUACAAUGAUGUUAAUAUCGUGAUAGCAUCAUCAUAAUGAGGGAUUGGCAUCAGUUUCUGUUGAAAUCAUUUUCGACUUGUUUAUUUUGGUGUCUCUUAGCAACCGCUCAACUCUUCAUCAGUCCUGUGUGACUGCAGGUAAUCUUCCACUUUCUCUCCCCGUCAUUUCCUCCACCUACGUAAUCAUUCAUUUGUAAGUUCGUGCAUUGUCUUGGCCUGCAUGUGUGGGCACAUUGCUGAUCCUGAGUCAGCCUCGCUGUAAUGAAGUCACAUGUGACGAACGCCCACAAAACAAACGAGAAAAAAAUGCCGUCCGGGUGAGAACAAGGCUGAGUGGAAAACUCCUCUGAUUUUCUGCCAACAUUCAGUCCCACAAAAGGUGUGCAGAUAAAGCAGCUGGAGGUUUGACGUCAACGUCGAUUCAGUUCAUUUGACCUCAGAAACCAGGAGACAAACUUUUUUCCAAAUGUUUUCUUCUUAGACCACCUUGAAAUAGUGAAUGUUGCUGUACAUACCUUUGAGGUCGUUUUUGACUGAUCUGAACCUUUGAAUUUUUUUUUUGAUGAACACAUGAUGGAU